UACGUAGGUGGCAAGCGUUGUCCGGAUUUAUUGGGUUUAAAGGGUGCGUAGGCGGCCCUGUAAGUCAGUGCUGAAAUAUCCCAGCUUAACUGGGAGGGUGGCAUUGAUACUGCGGGGCUAGAGUACAGAUGAGGUAGGCGGAAUUGACGGUGUAGCGGUGAAGUGCUUAGAUAUCGUCAAGAACACCUAUAGCGAAGGCAGCUUACUAGGCUGUAACUGACGCUGAGGCACGAAAGUGUGGGGAACAAACAGG
rnacentral:rRNA from 1 species